UUUCCUACGGGAGGCAGCAGUGGGGGAUAUUGCACAAUGGGGGGAACCCUGAUGCAGCGACGCCGCGUGGGCGAUGGAGUGCUUCGGCAUGUAAAGCCCUAUCAGCAGGGAAGAAAAUGACGGUACCUGACUAAGAAGCCCCGGCUAAAUACGUGCCAGCAGCCGCGGUAAUACGUAUGGGGCAAGCGUUAUCCGGAUUUACUGGGUGUAAAGGGAGCGUAGACGGCUGUGCAAGUCUGAAGUGAAAUGCCGGGGCUCAACCCCGGAACUGCUUUGGAAACUGUACAGCUAGAGUGCAGGAGGGG
rnacentral:rRNA from 1 species